rnacentral:rRNA from 1 species
UGUAAGCGUAUACCAAAGUUGUUGCAGUUAAAACGCUCGUAGUCGGAAUUUGGCAGUUCCGGAUGUGUGCACGUCGUGUGCGCACUUCGCGGGGAUUGCUUUUGUGGUCUUGCGUAGGAUGAGGCACUUUUAUUAGUGAACGUCCUCACGCAACCACUUUUUACCGUGAGAAAAUCAGAGUGCUCAAAGCAGGCAUUUGCCGUGAAUGUAUUAGCAUGGAAUAAUAGAAUAGGACUUGGUUCUAUUUUGUUGGUUUGUUGGGACUGAGUAAUGAUUAAGAGGGACAGUUGGGGGCAUUUGUAUUUCGGUGCUAGAGGUGAAAUUCUUAGAUUACCGAAAGACAAACUGCUGCGAAAGCGUCUGCCAAGGAUGUUUUCAUUGA